rnacentral:lncRNA from 1 species
UACUUCUACGUGAAUGAUUGAAAAAUUGUAACUACUAUUACAACCAUCAAACCUCAUCCAAAUUAUUUGGAAUUGGCAAUCAAAUGACUGUCUGAAACGAUAAAUAAUAAUGAAUAAAGACAUAGUUCAAUGGAUUAAUUCAUCACAUAAAUAGAGGGAUCUAAUUUUCAAAUUGUUUUUUAAUAAUAUCUUGGUUCUUUGAUCUGAUUGCUGGCAACUAGUAACCACCCAGUGAUAGGAUGAUCAAGGACUCUUGAAACUAGUGGUAACUUCAUUGAAUGAUCAAAAGAAGGCAAAAGUGCUCACCAACGGGAUGAAGGGCUGCUCCAUUUACAGAGUAUUUCUAUGGAGUUUGCCCCUAGCCAGAGUGGCGUAUCCAUCCAAUUCCAGCAUGACAUUUCGUUCAGUUGUGGGACUGCGAACACUGAAACCGAAUAAAUGAUCAACCAUAUAGUGAGAAGCUACUAAUCAUAAAUGCUAGAACCAAGAUUUUAAGUUCUGGCGGUGCAUGGGACAUCC